AUGUCCUAAUGAGGGCACUUUCGUAAUAACUCAUUGAAUCACUCUUGAACUGCUCCCAUGCCUCAUAUAAAGAUUCUUCAUCAAGUUACUGAAAUGAAGUGAUUUCAUUUCGAAUCUU
rnacentral:snoRNA from 1 species